CUAACAAUUUAUCCUCUUUUGUUUUUUCAUUGAUGAAAAAACAAAAUUCACUA
rnacentral:tRNA from 1 species